UAAAAGACAAUGAUAGGGAAAAGUAGUUUAAUGGAUCCAUUUAGGGAGAAAAUGCCAAAGACUGGGAGCAUUUUUAUGGAAUAUUAAGUGAAAUUCACCCCUGGAGUCAGCAUCGGGACCGUUUCUAUUGAAAUGUAAAGAUGCCUCGGUGAAAAGCCGUUAUUUAAUGAAGUUGAGCAUAAUAUUUUUUGAUGCUAAUUAGGGUGGUACCGCGAUGAUAACCUCGUCCCUUCU
rnacentral:ncRNA from 1 species